rnacentral:lncRNA from 1 species
UAAAAUUUGCGCUAUGAAUUAAGAAUUAGCUACUUGAUUUCCAAAUGUUUUUUGAGAGAUAGGUAGUACGCUACCCGCUUCGUUUAUUUUAUUUAGAAAUAAACUUAGCUAGAAAUGUGAAUCAACCAGGAUGCAAAAUUGGGUCUCAGGUACCAACCACCAAGCCCUUUGCCACUUGCUCUAGAGACGGUCGGUUACUUGAUUUCCAAAUGUUAAUAGCAUAAUGUU